rnacentral:lncRNA from 1 species
AACUUAAGCAAACCUGCAGACUGGUUAAACAAACACACCACACACUCUCCCUGACCCCGGGGAGGUCCCAGUAGGAGACAUUAUGUGAUUUUUUUUUUUCCACACUCAGAAAGUGAGCGCCAAUGCUAUGCUGUGAAGUCACAGGAACUGGGUGGAAAGGUUGAA